CGAGGGGUGCAAGCGUUGCUCGGAAUCAUUGGGCGUAAAGCGAGCGCGGAUGGUCUUGUAAGUCAGGAGUGAAAGCCCCGGGCUCAACCCAGGAAGUGCUUUGAUACUGCGAGACUUGAAUGUGGGAGAGGGUGCUAGAAUACCUAGUGUAGUGGUGAAAUACGUAGAUAUUAGGUGGAACACCGGUGGGGGAAGCCGGGUGCCUGGCCCAACAUUGACAUUUAGGCUCGAAAGCGUGGGGAUCAAACAGGAUUAGAUACCCUGGUAGUCCACGCCUUAAACUAUGAAUACUUGGUGUUGGAGGUAUUGACCCCUUCAGUGCCGAAGCUAACGCGUUAAGUAUUCCGCCUGGGAAGUACGGUCGCAAGAUUA
rnacentral:rRNA from 1 species